rnacentral:rRNA from 1 species
AGCGAACGCUGGCGGCAGGCUUAACACAUGCAAGUCGAACGCCCCGCAAGGGGAGUGGCAGACGGGUGAGUAACACGUGGGAACGUACCCUUUGGUUCGGAAUAACUUGGGGAAACUCAAGCUAAUACCGGAUAAGCCCUUAUGGGGAAAGGUUUACUGCCGAAGGAUCGGCCCGCGUCUGAUUAGCUAGUUGGUGAGGUAAUGGCUCACCAAGGCGACGAUCAGUAGCUGGUCUGAGAGGAUGAUCAGCCACACUGGGACUGAGACACGGCCCAACCUCCUGCGGGAGGCAGCAGGGGGGAAUAUUGGACAAUGGGGGCAACCCUAAUCCAGCCAUGCCGCGUGAGUGAUGAAGGCCUUAGGGUUGUAAAGCUCUUUUACCCGGGACGAUAAUGACUGUACCGGGAGAAUAAGCCCCGGCUAACUUCGUGCCAGCCGCCGCGGUAA